GAUUUAUCCUAGUUAGCUGAUGGCAGCAAAGAGGGGUUUCAUAAACUGGAACAGGUUAUCAGUGUGAGGAUUCUUGAGUGUUUAGCCACAGGUAUUGAUUGCUUCAACCCCUCUCCCCUCAGGAGAAGUCUGAUAGUGUUUGAGGAGAGGGAAGAAAGGGAAAAAAAAAAAAAAAACACAGUGUAAAAUUAGUUUCUGAGUUUGGAAUAAGAAAUUGGCCAGAAGGCAUUAAACAAUAGCGACAAUAAUAAUUGUUUCUUUACUGCUUAAAAAUACAGGAUUGAGCAGGGAGUGGUGGCGGCUCGGGCCUUUAAUCCCAGCACUUGGCUCAGAGCAGGCUAAUAAUCUCUGUGAGGUCAAGGGCAACCUGGUCUGCUGGUGAUUUCCUGCACCCCUCACCCCAACAAACAAAUAACAAAACACCCAAAUCAACAAAACCCCCGCAAGACUGAAACAAUCCGUUGACUUUUAAUUGGUUGAUAGAGGCUGUUAAAUUUAGAACUGGGACCUUCUCUGUGGAAAAAAAAAAAAUUGUAGUGAUUUUCUGUCCUCGGUGACAUAGGGGUCUGUUUUACUUGGGAUGAACAAAUUAGUGUGCAAGACACCUUAUGUUGGGCUAACGUGAUGCAGACCAUAAACGUGGGUGUGGCAGGAGGAGCAGUGAUGGAAGUGGCUUCUUUCCUAAGCCCUAGACAGACAAGGGUAGAAGAAAGUCAUUUCUGGUGACUAGAUCCGCCAGGAUAAUGAGAGUGAACACGGUGGGUGGACCGAGGCCGCAAGAGGAAGGUGAGUAUUUAGGAAUAUUGUACUUGGUCAGAACGAACCAGAGUGAAUCGGCUUUGGAGGGCCUCGGAAGCCACGGAGUGUUAUUCUAAGGAAAGUGUCCGUGGCUGUAGUCCCACCUAGAGAAAGGAACUUGACUCGGGUUUGGUUUGUGAGUUCUCAGGAAAGAGAACCAGGAGGCAGCGAUGUCGGUUAGGUUGUCACCACAGACACACCUAAAACUGGCAUCAGGUCCUCUCCCCAGCCCUGCUGGUGUUUGCAUUGAACCUGGGUACCCAGGAUUCCCUGCCUUCCAAAGGAUCGCCGAGGGUUGGUUUUAUUUUAGCUGUUACAUACACGGUCUCCACUGCCUGCCUGGGUUCAGACCUUUACUAUCCCUGCCCUGUAGUAAUGGUCUCAGUCUGUUUUCCUAACAUUUCCUUCCUUUCCAGAAAUAGCUGCUGCCCACAACUACCUGGCAAUCGUCUUCCUCAUCCAUAGAUACUGUUUUAAUUUUUCCAGAGUUCUAAAGGGGUUACUACACUCUUAGAGUAAGCGUGGCCCUUCCUGUUAAGAACAUCUGCCCACCCUUUAAGUGUCCUAUAUCCCCAGGACUCUGGCUACACUGAGCUACUUAGCAUUUCUUAGCUACAUUCCUAGAAAUGUCUCUUAUUGAAAGGACCCGAAUUUCUACGUGGGGCAGAACCAUUGUGCACUGGGUUCCAGGAUAGACACACAAGGUUUCUGUUGUCUGCCUCCUCGCUGUGAUAAAGGCAAGGCAGCCUGGGGAGGGAAGGGUUAUCUCAUCCUGCAUCCCACUCCCAGGUCAUCGUUGAGGGAAGUCAGAGCAGGAACUGGAGCAGUCCUGGAGGACGGAGGAUGCUUACUGGUUUGCUUCCCAUGGCUUCCUCAGCCUGCUUUCUUCUGUACGAUACAGGACCGCCUGCCCAGCGGUGGCACAGCCCACAUCACAACUGUCAUUAAUCAAGUAAAUGACCCACAGACUUACCUACCUACAAGCCAAUCAGAUGGAGGCAUUUUCUCCAUUGAGGGUCCCUCUUCCUAGAUGACUCCAGCUUAUGCCAAGUUGGC
rnacentral:lncRNA from 1 species